rnacentral:rRNA from 1 species
UACGUAGGGUGCAAGCGUUGUCCGGAAUCAUUGGGCGUAAAGCGCGCGUAGGUGGCCUCGUAAGUCCGCUGUGAAAGUCAAAGGCUCAACCUUUGAAAGCCGGUGGAUACUGUGGGGCUAGAGUACGGAAGAGGCGAGUGGAAUUCCUGGUGUAGCGGUGGAAUGCGCAGAUAUCAGGAGGAACACCAAUAGCGAAGGCAGCUCGCUGGGACGUUACUGACACUGAGGCGCGAAAGCGUGGGGAGCGAACAGG